rnacentral:lncRNA from 1 species
GUAAAGUAUCAUCACAUGAUUGGCUUUAGGGCACAUUUCCAACAAUCUCCCACUUGCACUAGAGCCAAUCAGGUUGGUCAUCUUGAUGAUACCUCUUUUGUAGUCAUUUCAUAAAUGGCUGAAUAGUAGGCCUAGACAGUGGAUAUCUAUAUGUGUUAUCCACAGAAGCAACCUUGAGAAUAACGACGUCACCAUUAUACAUGAUUCUCAAUCAUGUGGUUCAGUCUCUCAUUUAUGUUCGGAUCUUGAUGAGACCUUGAUUCCCAGGCUUGAGUUAUCGCCCCAUUAGUGUCAUACACUUUCUGGUUGGAAUCGAAUAGAGAGUUCAUAAAUGAACUUUCCUAUCCAAACAACAUUGUUGUAAACUUCUAUAUGGCAAUAUAUCUUGCAUUCAUAAUGGAACACACUAAAGUCAUUA